GAGAACUGUACAGUCAUUGAGGAGAAAUCUUUUCUAUUCACAAACAAAUGAGAUCCAGCUGAAAUUAACUGGGAGAAGCAAGAGCUUCAGGAAUGGACCCUGAGGUGAUGCAUAAUGGAGAACAGGGCUGUGUGCUGCUUUAUUUUAAAGCAGCAUGUGGAAAAACAAGCAGAAAAAAGCAGUGUCAUGAAGUCUGCUGCACUUCUGAUGACUGCCUGCUAAUAAAUGAUAAUCCUGAACAGCAGUUCUUGUACUUCAGCUUCUUUUUAAAGAAUGGAUUUUGUUACAAUCAAACGUU
rnacentral:lncRNA from 1 species